AGCGUUCUGAAUCUGUGCAGAGAUUUUGUUAGACACCAAACCACUAGGGCUGAUCAGACUUCAAGAUAAGUGAAGUU
rnacentral:pre_miRNA from 1 species